rnacentral:sRNA from 1 species
GCCAGGAUUUAGUGGCGCAUACCUGUAAUCCAGGCAAUUGGGAGGCUGAAACAGGAGGAUUGUGAGUUCAAGACCAGCCUCAGCAAUUUAGCCAGGCCUUAAGCAAUUUAGCAAGACCCUGUCUCAA